rnacentral:lncRNA from 1 species
AUCUUCGAGCAACCCACAGUAGCCUUCCUCCUCCGUCCCCUCCGCCUUAAAUAAGGAAAGACGGCGACGACGCUUUCUCUCUCUGCCAAGAAGCUCCAUCUCCAUCUCCCUUUCUCUCUCUAGUGUCUCCGUCGUCUCGCCACGGGGAUGAGGGAGGAGGAGGAGGAGGUGGAGGAGGGGGAAGCAGAGAUCGACCGCCUG